rnacentral:rRNA from 1 species
UACGGAGGAUGCAAGCGUUAUCCGGAAUGAUUGGGCGUAAAGGGUCCGCAGGUGGCAGUGUAAGUCUGCUGUCAAAGAAUGAGGCUUAACCUCAUCAAGGCAGUGGAAACUACACAGCUAGAGUACGGUCGGGGUAGAAGGAAUUCCUGGUGUAGCGGUGAAAUGCGUAGAGAUCAGGAAGAACACCGGUGGCGAAAGCGUUCUGCUAGACCUGCACUGACACUGAGGGACGAAAGCUAGGGGAGCGAAAGGG